CCUAACUGUAAUAGUAACUCUAACUCUAACCCUAACCCUAAUCUUGACUGUAAUAGUAACUCUAACCCUAAUCAUAAACAAGAACAAACCAACAGACAAAAUCAGCAUCUCAAAAUGGCCGACAGAAUCCGCAAUUUCUGCAGCAGCCAAUUAAAAUGAACUAUGGACAGAGAAACCAGACCAAUUUGUCAACAAGCUAGGUGACAUGAAUAAACCACUUUGCUCUCAAAUAUUUAUAGUGGCAGCCGACCACCUUGGUACAAUUCCAGCCUUAUAUCUACCGUCGAGUCUACUUGACACCUUGUAUUAAAACAUUAUCUUAAUUAUAUAAAAAAAAUGUUUUAAACUCCUAGAAAUGGAAGCAAUUAAAGGAUAAAAGUCUGGCUUCAGCGAUUGUGAUUAAUGGACUACAUUACCUCAGGAAGCAAACUACAGGUCAUCAAAAGUUUGGUGAAGAAAGACAAAUUUAUCAAAGUUAGUAUCCAGAGGCUUUUUGUUUAUCAUUUCAGCAAAUUUCCAAUGGCAACCCACCAAACACCCAGGAUGGCGAUAGCAGGGUUUCUGUUUAAUUUCCUGCAGGACCGGGACUCAGGAUGAAGCCUGGGGCCUGGUGUUUUCCUGAUGUUGUUGGUAACAAUAUCUCUUUUUUUCAUAUUAUCUUGUUGGGUUCACUCUGCUCCCAGGCCCGUUCUUAUCAUAGACAAUGUUUUACAGAUAACAACAGCGGGCCCGUGGUACCAGCGGCACUGGCACGCUGCUGCUCGCUCUGCCACUUUACAAAGAGAUAUAGUCAGGAACUGAGCGAGCCCUCUUACUGUUAAUGGAUUUCAAAGGUUAGGUAAACUCUUAAUCUGCGCUGGGUUUGUUUAGGAAAGAAUCUCAUCGUGAAGGGUGCAAGGAAGACAAAGUCAUGGCUCAGUGUGAUUGAUUUGUUGGGGACAUUUUUACAUUUGGCAUGCACCUCCUUUUUUUUAAAGUUUUGAAAGCAGGUAGCUUAUUUGAUAGGUAAAAAAGGCAAGAAACUCAACUUGCCUCCACAAGAUGAACUGUAGUGCUUGACGUUACCACUUAGUAAGGGAAGUACAGAGGGUGCCUUAAAACAGGAAACAACAGGUAUGGUUCACUGAUGUAAUAAAAUGACAAUAAAUGAUUUUCAAAAAUCAUAACUGGGUGCUACAAUCAUAGUAAUCACAGUGGGAAUGCAGAUGAAAUAUAAAAGACGGCGAAAAUGAUGUCCCAUUGAUACCACAGUGGCAAGCGGUGGGGGGAUAAAAGGGGUUGGCAGGAUUAAAAUGCAAGAUUAGUGUUUAAACAGAGUGUCAGCGUCAGCUAGUUCUGUGAAAGUGUUCCUAUCACCACUGCAAAGAGAUUUUAGGAACAUCUGCCGUUUAAGGACCGAUAACAGGAGUUAAAACAUAUCAAUGUGCAUCUGCUGCUGUAGGUAGAGCAGAUGCACACAGGAGACAGAGUCGGGAGCAGGCUGCACUUUAAUCACAGUUAGGUGUUAUUCUGCUCUCAGCUAUCUUGAGAUCUGGGAGCCGUCCAUUGCGUUUGCUCCUUACGCCUCGAGGAAGGAAAACAAGUGGUUCCACUUUAGUUGUUUUCAGUGAGUGAAGCACUAGACUUGCUCUUGUGGAGCUCGGGAGAGAAGCCAAAGGGACAUGCAAUGGUUUUUGUUUUUUUAAAAGGAGAAGCAGUAACAGUAAUGCUAACUGCUUGUGAGGUCUAAAUAGACCGCAAUUAUAUUGCUUGUAUGUUUGAUUCUCAUUUAGUAAAAUAACAUGUUUGUUUUUUUAAUAGACUAACCCUUGCUAGUACGUGUAUUGGGCUAUUUGAACUGCGUUCAUGCUGUAAUGGAUCUUCUCCUAGUAGAUGAGUUAAUAAUACUGAUAUCAGCAUAAGACCCAUACUUGCCUCGACCAUACAGCUCUUUAAUUGAAUGGUAAGAUAUUAAUCUAUGAACAGUGAGGUUGCUAGUUCACAUCCAGCCCUUGCCUCUCUAUUCAGUUCAAUGGGCUGAGAUGCCAAGCCAUUACAGUGUGCCUGCCCGGCUAGUGUCCCAGUACCCCCUUCUAGGUGACAAACGUUUUAAUCAGUGUUGCCAUUCAAACAGUACAGAAGUAGCUAUUGUCCAGCAGAAUUGCAGUUUGAUUGAUUUCAGUACCAAUUAAUAGAAGCACUGAAAUAAUCACUUGACUGCAUGUUAAUACCCUAAUAGAUUCCUUUCUUUCUCCCAUAGCCCCACACCAGCAGAAAAAUCUUUUAAGGGGUGGCAGCGAGUCACAAUCCUGGAGAGAACCUUCACACGCUAUUGUUGUAAUAAAAGAGGGCGCUGGUGGUUUGCUUUAUUUAAUAAGGGCCUGGGAGCGCCCUGCUCUGAUUCAUUGAAGGAGGCGUCUGCAUUACGAAGUACCUCAGUGGUUAGCUUCAUUUUAAUAGACCAAUAUGUCCCAGUAUUGACUUGUCAGCUAGACUGGGACAGGUCAUGUGUAGCCACUGACCUCAUAUCCUUUACCAAAAUGUAAGAGAAAUGAUUACAGUAUUCUGCAGUUAUUUCUUUUAAUGUAUCAAUAAGAACAUGCAAUUGAAAGAUUGAGUGACAGGUUGAAAUAUGUUUGAUAUAUUAUUAUUAUUAAGGAUGAUUGAUAGUUGCCCUUAAUGCAUAUAUAGUGUUGCUCAUCAUGCUUUACAAUUACUCUCAUAAAAGUUUACUGUGGUACAUUUGUAUUUUACCAUGCAUUCCCCAUGCUUUUACUAUCUAUGUGUUUAUCACAGUUAAUUUUCGAUUUUUAUCUGUGAUUCGUGUUCCUUGCCUGUGGUUUUCACCUGGCUUUUGUGAUCCUUUGCUAUACCAUUUUUAAAUGACUGACAGUGCCAUGAAGAGUAGGCUUUUGCUCUGAGGAUACAGAAGCAGCUGCAUAUUGUACCAUCUGUAAUGUCAAGCGUUCUGAGUAAACCCAUUAGCCUUUAGCAAUCAACCCUAGACAGAGCAAAGCCCUCGAGUCAAUAUAAAGAGAAGUGCGUAGGACAGCUGGAGAGGGGUGGUGCCACUGGAAAAUGAACCUCUUUCUCCUUGUCAUCCCCCAGAGGUAACUCAUGCAUUUCAACUGUACUCCACAGUAAACUACAGUGAAUAAACCACAGCAAACAACCAAAAAAAAUCAAAAGCCCAAGCAGAUAUACAAAAAAAUGGAAUUGGUCAGCUGCUAACAACCGCCUAGCAACACAUAGGUAGAAAUCCAUCAUGGUACAAUGAGACGACUCGAUUCAGCAGGAGAGCAAAGCUGUAACCGACAGCCAGCGGUCUGUCUGUCUGAGUGAGCCUGUCUUCUGAAAGAUCUCAGCUGCUGGCCAGUGUGGCAGCCGUCCAGUUCAAACCAUGGAGGGGAGCCUGGGGAGCCACUAUUGAAACGGAAGUGUCUCUGCAGGCCCAGAGAAACUCAAAGAUUCAGCAUGAGAAGACUGCUGCCACCCUGCAGCCUUUCAAAUAAAGCACAGCAGCACAAGUUAGCACUGAUGUGCAACACAGCAGUCAUUAGCAGCUAGGUAACUAGGCAACAGUUAGCUGUCUCGAGAACAGCAAUUUAAAAGAUAUACUGAGAAUUAGAAGAGAAGGCGUUGGGAAAGUCACAAAUAAGUAGUAAGGUGUCAUCACAUUGCUUCAUUGUGAUUUUUUCCUCAUAUAGGCUGAGAUGCCAAUAAAGCACUUAUCCAUUAUGUAGAAGUAAUGACCAAUGCAUUGGAAAUGUACGUUUAGUUAGUACUGCAAUACUUUGUGUUGUAGAGUAAGCGCAUUGGUAAUAGUGCUGUUAAUUAUGUAAGAAAUAUUGUUUUAAAGUAUUACUUAUCCCGUUAACAGAUCUAAAUUGGAUGCCAAAUCACAUAAAGAUAUUAUCUGCAAAGCUAAACAGUAUAUUAUAUAAACAUUGGCGCCAAUAAACAGAUGAACGCAUUGUAAAAUGGAUACUCAAGCUUCAUACCACAGAUUGCUGCACAGCAGGGUGUUAAUAGCUGUGCUGGCUCUGGUUUGGAAAGACUUUACUUUUCAUAUCGGAUCGAGAAGAGUUUUUCAAUAGGCAGAUCCACUUUACUGAGCCGGAUCUGGGGAAAAUGCACAGCUUUCCUGGUUCCCAUCGUGUUGCUUUCUACCGCAGCAGAAGGGCAUUGAAAUCUACUCUGGCACAAGUGAAGGCAUGUUUUAAAUGGCAAGUAAAGUUCACAUCCAACAGUACAGAGUCUGCACUAAAAUCACACCAAGAAAAUACAUUUUCGCUUCUUCUAUUAGCUUUACAUGCGAGUCAUAUUAAAAAAUAAUAAUAAUCAAUUUAAAAACAUACCUAUAUGAAAUUACAGAGAAUAAGUAAUUACCAUAUUAAUACAACUCCAACAGGAUCAGAUUUCAGUAGCUGAAAGACACCUUCUUCCAUAAGGCUGCAUGGUACAGUUCAAAUGAUACGGGCAUGGGUGGAUGAGGAUUCUUUACUCACAGACAGUGCAUUCCUUUGCAUGAAUUAGGGUUAUGCCAACAAUGAACAGUGUACUGGUAUACAAGCGCAACCAGCCCAGCACAAUAAGCAAUGCAGAGCAGCCAUGCUGACCUCUGUAGCACCAUUUAUGUGCUCAAGUUGCAAAGUGAUUCCAGCUGUGAGAAUUAAACUCACAUCUCUCUGGGACCUGGCUUGCGUUCUUCCGUCUUUCAAACCAUCUUUCUUGCUGUCCAGAUGGAAAACUCGGAUAUUUCUAACAUCUGGAAAUAGAGAUUUGUGUUUAUGUGUUCAUAAUACCUUAUGUUAAAAAAAAAAAUCCAUGUGUUUUAAUAAAGUUAAUAAGCUAAUACCAA